rnacentral:rRNA from 1 species
GACGAACGCUGGCGGCGUGCCUAAUACAUGCAAGUAGAACGCACAGUUUAUACCGUAGCUUGCUACACCAUAGACUGUGAGUUGCGAACGGGUGAGUAACGCGUAGGUAACCUGCCUGGUAGCGGGGGAUAACUAUUGGAAACGAUAGCUAAUACCGCAUAAUAUUGAUUAUUGCAUGAUAAUUGAUUGAAAGAUGCUAUUGCAUCACUACCAGAUGGACCUGCGUUGUAUUAGCUAGUAGGUGAGGUAACGGCUCACCUAGGCGACGAUACAUAGCCGACCUGAGAGGGUGAUCGGCCACACUGGGACUGAGACGCGGCCCAGACUCCUACGGGAGGCAGCAGUAGGGAAUCUUCGGCAAUGGACGAAAGUCUGACCGAGCAACGCCGCGUGAGGGAAGAAGGUUUUCGGAUCGUAAAGCUCUGUUGUAAGAGAAGAACGGGUGUGAGAGUGGAAAGUUCACACUGUGACGGUAUCUUACCAGAAAGGGACGGCUAACUACGUG